rnacentral:lncRNA from 1 species
UGCUGCCCCCCCUUCUCCCCUAUCCAUGGGUUGGAAUGAGGGUCGCCCCUGUCUCCCCAGCAACACUCCUGAGGCUCAGCAGGGCCCGGAGUCCCUGUCCCCGCAGUGACUGAAUUUCUCUGAUCCCCAACUCCAAUAUAGAUCGGCUUCCCCAGCAGCUCUGGUCUCUUUAAUCUUGUUGCACUAAGUUUUAGUUAUCCAAAGAAGAAACUAGUGCACGCACGUGUGUGUGUGUGUGUGUGUGUGUAUGGACACGUACGUGUCCGUGUGUGUGUAUUUACCAUUAUUACUGCUGUGCCACGAAGGGGACCCGGGCCUGCUGCAUGUGAGGCCAGCACUCUGCUUACUGAGCCGCAUCCCCAGCCCUACACAAGUAUGUUUUUGCCACACAUAAAAAAAUCAAAUUUUAACAAAGCCUUCCUUGGCCACCACGACACCGAGAUGACCUCAUGGAGUGAAACCUCAUUGUCAUUACUUGGGUAUAUCCUCGAGAUCUUUUUCUGUGCACUGACACGCAUGACCUAAAGGAGUAGUGUUCCUGUGUGUGUGUGUGUGUGUGUGUGGACAAAUGGUUUCAUGUCAUCCAGGUUAUUCUGAAAAUUGCUUUUCUUACUUAGCAUUCCCUUUCCAUGGCAAGAGAAUCUAACUAGGGUUUUGCGUAAAGAGCAACCAUGAUUAGUUUCUUUACUGAUACAAGCUGGUUUUGGAGUGACUCAUCAUUCAGCCGUUCCCCUCCUGCUGGACAUGUAGGUUAGUUGUGAUUUUUUCCGAGCGCCUCCUUGGACAUGUCUGGAGUUGCUACUGCUUGGUUUCAGGAGCCAGUUACAGUUUUUAAAAUAUUGUGCAAUAUUUAAAAUUUGUCACCUGAGAGUUUCCCCAGAGCCAAACGCCUUCCGUGGGUCCCCGUGACUCCUGGAGGCCCCUUUAGAGCCAGAGAAGCUCUGCUGUCCCCACUGCUUGCCCCUCCCCCGCCCCUCCCUACGAGGUGGGAAACAGUGGCCCUGGAGCCCUCUCUCCCCCACUCUGGGGUUUUCUGUCCUUGCUUAAAGCCACUGUUCCGGGGGAGGGGGACCCUGGAAUCAGAAGGCCUUGGUCCAAUCCUGGCUCAGCUGCUCCCUGACUGUGUGUCUGGGAAAGUGACACGACCUCUCUGUGGCGUGGAGCCCUGUCCCAGGGCUGCCGUGGGAGGCAGCACCCAUAUAGCACCCAGUGCCGGGCCCCCUCCCAGGCUCUCUUCUCUGUACCACCCGUCCCCACCUCACUGGGACAGUCCGUUGGCCGCCUCUUGGCCCAGGGCUUUGUGACAGCUUCGUCCUGCUGUCCCCUGGCAUCCCACAGGAGGCUGCUGCCCAGAAUGCGGUGGGCGAUCGGAUUUCCACCCUGCUUGGCCCUGACGGGUCUGGCCCGGGGCCCACGCGGAGGGAAAGAGGUCAUCCCAACCGUUUGCUCAGGCGAGGUGGCCAGGAGCCUGGUCACGUAACCCCACACCGGGAAGGUGGACCGGCUCUCCAUGGGCCCUUGUGGCUGUGGAUCUGAUCUCCCUUGGCCUGCAGGAUGGGCAGGAGAAGACAGCAGCCUGGGGUCAGCCUCUCCCGGAGCCGGGGUGUCCCUGGGCCGCUCGGGUGGCCCAGCUGUGGGUCUGCCGCUCGGCCUCGGGGCCACGGCUGCAGCUGGUUACUUACUUAAAGCUGCAGUUCAGGAGCUUUUUUGUUUUCGUGGCCAAAAUUCCCUGCCGGAGCGACUCAGAGCAGGGAAGGUUAUUUGGGUCGUGUGUCAGAGGUCUCCGUCCCUAGAUGGCCAGUCCAUGGCUGGAGCCCCAGGUGAGGCAGCCUACAGGAAAGGAAACAGGGGUUCAGAGGGGGGCCACGGGAAGACGCACCCCCCAGCCCUGGUGACCCACCUCCGCCCGCCCCGCCUCCCUACAUCCCCCCGGGUUGGUGGGUCCCGGCUGGUUCCGCAAGGACAGCUCCGCCACUCCAGACUCUUCACCUCUGGACGCACCCCUGCCAGCCCAGAAGCUUUCGGGGGACACUGCGUAUCCAAUCCACCCUACUCGUCCCCCCGGGUUCCAGGACACCGUCCGCCUUGGUCAAGGAGCGCCUCGCCGCCCCUGUGACACAGGCAGGGGCAGAGUCUGAGGUCUAGGAGGUGGACAGACUCCCCAGGCCACACAGGUAGCCGCUGGCAGGCUGGGAAAGGCCCCUGCCAUCUGGCUCCCCGAGUGCUGGUCUUGGCAGAGGCGGCUGGCC